GAUGAACGCUGGCGGCGUGCCUAAUACAUGCAAGUCGAGCGAACGGACGAGAAGCUUGCUUCUCUGAUGUUAGCGGCGGACGGGUGAGUAACACGUGGAUAACCUACCUAUAAGACUGGGAUAACUUCGGGAAACCGGAGCUAAUACCGGAUAAUAUUUUGAACCGCAUGGUUCAAAAGUGAAAGACGGUCUUGCUGUCACUUAUAGAUGGAUCCGCGCUGCAUUAGCUAGUUGGUAAGGUAACGGCUUACCAAGGCAACGAUGCAUAGCCGACCUGAGAGGGUGAUCGGCCACACUGGAACUGAGACACGGUCCAGACUCCUACGGGAGGCAGCAGUAGGGAAUCUGCCGCAAUGGGCGAAAGCCUGACGGAGCAACGCCGCGUGAGUGAUGAAGGUCUUCGGAUCGUAAAACUCUGUUAUGAGGGAAGAACAUAUGUGUAAGUAACUGUGCACAUCUUGACGGUACCUAAUCAGAAAGCCACGGCUAACUACGUG
rnacentral:rRNA from 1 species